rnacentral:rRNA from 1 species
UACUAACGCUGGCGGCGUGCUUAACACAUGCAAGUCGAACGGAAAGGCCUGCUUUCCCUUGUGGAUUGCGGGUACUCGAGUGGCGAACGGGUGAGUAACACGUGAGUGAUCUGCCCCCAACUUGGGUAUAAGCCUGGGAAACUGGGUCUAAUUCCCGAUAGGACUGCAGGGUGGUGCCUGUGGUGGAAAACGAUUUUCUAGUGGUUGGGGAUGAGCUCGCGGCCUAUCAGCUUGUUGGUGGGGUAAUGGCCUACCAAGGCGGCGACGGGUAGCCGGCCUGAGAGGGUGGACGGCCACAUUGGGACUGAGAUACGGCCCAGACUCCUACGGGAGGCAGCAGUGGGGAAUAUUGCACAAUGGGCGGAAGCCUGAUGCAGCGACGCCGCGUGGGGGAUGACGGCCUUCGGGUUGUAAACUCCUUUCGACCGCGAGGAAGCCACCUGGUUGGAAGGGUGGUGACGGUAGUGGUAGAAGAAGCACCGGCUAACUACGUG